rnacentral:lncRNA from 1 species
UGCAAAGGAAAAAAAAGGGCAAAGCUUUGAGGGAAAGGAUGGGCAAACGCCAAGGUGGUGGUUUGCACACAACAGCAGUCUGGAUUUCUUUUUAUGUAUAAAACAGUAACUCUCCCGGCUCCGGGAGUGACAGUGAUUAUCAUGCCCCGUUUCCAUGGUGAUCAUCCUUAUGGACUGUCUGUUUUAGAAGCUCCUCUGGAAUGUCUCUUACUGUUGUUAAGGUCGUCUCUUUUCCAGGUGGUCAGUGAUUUCCCCGAAGUACACUGUUGUCCCAGGGGAUUUAAAAAAUGGUGACUCAGGUCAAGCUUUAGCUGAUCGUGUGUACUGCACUCUUGUCUUCGUUAUCACCGGGCCGUUGGCCAGAGCAACCAGGAGCGCUGCGGGUCUGGCUGCCGGGUGAAGGACGCACGACCCCGAGUCUUGGCUGACCACUGAUGGCGCAGCUGUGCGCACUCUCUGACCUUAACAUUUCACCACGCUCUGUGGGGACUUUUAUCUGAGACCUAACAGAUGGUUAUAAAUGCAUUGCACACCGAGGUCUUUAGAUUGUUAACUGUAAUUGGCAUGUUGUUUUGAUUCCCGUGGUCCCUCAGGCCAUCUAAUGUCUGACUACCUGCCUAAAAUAAGGUCACCCAGCCAGGUCCGGGUUUCAUCCCGGAGUCUCUGUUCCCAAUCACUCGGCCACGUUCUGCUUCUGAGUAGUAAUCAGCACUAGGAACCGAGGUAAAAUACCAGCCUCAGGGUCAUCAGGAGUAACAUCGCCACCAUCGGGGCGUUCAAGGCAACUCGCUAAGAGUGUCCCUCCUCAUUUAUUCCACCAAAACACACAGAGGAUCGACUAUGUGCCAACAACCCCAUUUUACAGAUGGAGGAGAGUACCAUCCCCGCCCAACCUCUGCAGCGGGGCCUCCCUAGCCCACCGAUGGGGGUCAUUUGGUUAGCCCUCAAUGACUCGGGAAAGCGGUGCCUACUGGCGCAGCACACGCCCACGUCGCCCGGGCGUCUCUGAGGAGCGGUUGGGGCGGGGCCG